rnacentral:rRNA from 1 species
CUACGGGAGGCUGCAGUGGGGAAUAUUGGACAAUGGGCGAAAGCCUGAUCCAGCCAUGCCGCGUGUGUGAAGAAGGCCUUCGGGUUGUAAAGCACUUUCAGUGGGGAAGAAAGCCUUGGGGCUAAUACCCUCGAGGAAGGACAUCACCCACAGAAGAAGCACCGGCUAACUCCGUGCCAGCAGCCGCGGUAAUACGGAGGGUGCGAGCGUUAAUCGGAAUUACUGGGCGUAAAGCGCGCGUAGGCGGUCUGAUAAGCCGGUUGUGAAAGCCCCGGGCUCAACCUGGGAACGGCAUCCGGAACUGUCAGGCUAGAGUGCAGGAGAGGAAGGUAGAAUUCCCGGUGUAGCGGUGAAAUGCGUAGAGAUCGGGAGGAAUACCAGUGGCGAAGGCGGCCUUCUGGACUGACACUGACGCUGAGGUGCGAAAGCGUGGGUAGCAAACAGGAUUAGAUACCCUUGUAGUC